rnacentral:rRNA from 1 species
GAUGAACGCUAGCGAUAGGCUUAACACAUGCAAGUCGAGGGGCAGCGCGGGUAGCAAUACCUGUCGGCGACCGGCGCACGGGUGAGUAACGCGUAUGUAACCUGCCCGCAACAGGGGGAUAACCCGGCGAAAGUCGGACUAAUACCGCAUAAAACAGGGGUCCCGCAUGGGAAUAUUUGUUAAAGAUUUAUCGGUUGCGGAUGGGCAUGCGUACCAUUAGGUAGUUGGUGAGGUAACGGCUCACCAAGCCUUCGAUGGUUAGGGGUUCUGAGAGGAAGGUCCCCCACACUGGUACUGAGACACGGACCAGACUGCUACGGGAGGCAGCAGUGAGGAAUAUUGGGCAAUGGGCGAGAGCCUGAACCAGCCAAGUCGCGUGAAGGAGGACUGCCCUAUGGGUUGUAAACUUCUUUUACAAGGGAAUAAAAUGAGAUACGUGUAUUUUAUUGAAUGUACCUUGGGAAUAAGCAUCGGCUAACUCCGUG